rnacentral:snRNA from 1 species
AUGCUUGUUUUGGAAGCACAUAUACUAAAAUUGGAAGUAUACAGAGAAGAUUAGCCUGGUCCCUCUGUAAGGAUGACACACAAAUCGUGAAGUGUUCCAUUAAAAA